UACGUAGGGGGCAAGCGUUAUUCGGAAUUAUUGGGCGUAAAGGGCGCGUAGGCGGCUUGGCAAGUGGAAGGUGAAAUCCCUCGGCUUAACCGAGGAACUGCCCUCCAAACUGCUUGGCUUGAGACCGGGAGAGGUGAGUGGAAUUCCCAGUGUAGCGGUGAAAUGCGUAGAUAUUGGGAGGAACACCAGUGGCGAAGGCGGCUCACUGGACCGGUACUGACGCUGAUGCGCGAAAGCGUGGGGAGCAAACGGG
rnacentral:rRNA from 1 species